rnacentral:rRNA from 1 species
GACGAACGCUGGCGGCGUGCUUAACACAUGCAAGUCGAACGGAAAGGCCCUGCUUUUGUGGGGUGCUCGAGUGGCGAACGGGUGAGUAACACGUGAGUAACCUGCCCUUGACUUUGGUAUAACUUCAGGAAACUGGGGCUAAUACCGGAUCGGAGCUCCUGCUGCAUGGUGUGGGUUGGAAAGUUUCGGCGGUUGGGGAUGGACUCGCGGCUUAUCAGCUUGUUGGUGGGGUAGUGGCUUACCAAGGCUUUGACGGGUAGCCGGCCUGAGAGGGUGACCGGCCACACUGGGACUGAGAUACGGCCCAGACUCCUACGGGAGGCAGCAGUGGGGAAUAUUGCACAAUGGGCGGAAGCCUGAUGCAGCAACGCCGCGUGCGGGAUGACGGCCUUCGGGUUGUAAACCGCUUUCGCCUGUGACGAAGCGUGAGUGACGGUAACGGGUAAAGAAGCACCGGCUAACUACGUG